rnacentral:rRNA from 1 species
GUUGGACGCUAGCGGCGGAUGGGUGAGUAACACGUGGGCAAUCUGCCCUAAAGACUGGGAUACCACUUGGAAACAGGUGCUAAUACCGGAUAACAACAUGAAUCGCAUGAUUCAAGUUUGAAAGGCGGCGCAAGCUGUCACUUUAGGAUGAGCCCGCGGCGCAUUAGCUAGUUGGUGGGGUAAAGGCCUACCAAGGCAAUGAUGCGUAGCCGAGUUGAGAGACUGAUCGGCCACAUUGGGACUGAGACACGGCCCAAACUCCUACGGGAGGCAGCAGUAGGGAAUCUUCCACAAUGGACGCAAGUCUGAUGGAGCAACGCCGCGUGAGUGAAGAAGGUUUUCGGAUCGUAAAGCUCUGUUGUUGGUGAAGAAGGAUAGAGGCAGUAACUGGUCUUUAUUUGACGGUAAUCAACCAGAAAGUCACGGCUAACUACGUGCCAGCAGCCGCGGUAAUACGUAGGUGGCAAGCGUUGUCCGGAUUUAUUGGGCGUAAAGCGAGCGCAGGCGGAAUGAUAAGUCUGAUGUGAAAGCCCACGGCUCAACCGUGGAACUGCAUCGGAAACUGUCAUUCUUGAGUGCAGAAGAGGAGAGUGGAAUUCCAUGUGUAGCGGUGGAAUGCGUAAAUAUAUGGAAGAACACCAGUGGCGAAGGCGGCUCUCUGGUCUGCAACUGACGCUGAGGCUCGAAAGCAUGGGUAGCGAACAGGAUUAGAUACCCUGGUAGUCCAUGCCGUAAACGAUGAGCGCUAGGUGUUGGGGACUUUCCGGUCCUCAGUGCCGCA